rnacentral:lncRNA from 1 species
UCUCUCAACUCUAUAACUCCAAAACACAAACCUUGACGAACAAGGCCUCUGCGUGGAGAAACGAGUUGAGCGCGGUACUACCAGGGAUGUGGUGGGGAUCAAACUCGGAACCACUCGUUUAUGAAGCGAGCGCUCUACCACUACACCAUUAUCGCAUGAUUUAGCUUUUAGUUACUGUAUGUUUGUUUGUGUUCUGUUUAAACCUCUGGUGGUCUGUUACUUUAGCGGCUCUCCAGUUAGUCCACUAAAAUACAUCCACUGAAAAUACACUUUUUAGAUAAAGUGCUCUAUAUGGAGCUAUCUUUUUCUGAUGAAGUAAUACUUAUAGAAGUAACUUGCACAUUUUCAUUUUCGUAUAUUACUCUAACCUGUUUUAAAGAUGUUGCAAAUUUACAAUUUUGCGCCCAUUAUUACACACCCGUGUGGCUUAGUUGUCUAUAAUGUUAUUCCUUUUCAACUGAAUACUUUUUAGAUUUUUAUUGUGUCUUAUGUUUGUGUUAUAACUGUAAACAGUGAAAGAACAAUUACAGUAAAAGAAUGCGACUUUGCAAAAUGAUGAUUUUGCAAUGAUAAAUACAAUCAUGCUUGCUGCUUAUCAAAAUGAUAAGCAGCAAGCAUGAAUGUAUUUGUCGAAAAGAGUAAUAGACUUAUUGUCUAUGGGGCUAUUAAGGCUAAACAUUAGGAGCUUGAUUUGGUCCAACUACAUUCGUAAUGCGUUUUUUAAAUUUGUCUGAAUGAUAAAGGGUAUCAUUAGAAGAAUCAGUCUAAUAAUGACAACAAUUUUCCAUACAAUAAGAAAUAGGUUGUGCAUACAUUUUUUAAAUAUAAGCGAAGAAUUAGAUUUAUAGUUUCCAUUAGUGGUGAAUAGUAAAAGGUAAUCAAAAAGAACAUAAACGAGAAUACUCUGUAAGAGUGUGUCCAUUUAUCAAAAUAGGCAUAUCAACAUAGCAGCAAACAUCUGAGUUAAAAAGCUUGGGUUAAAAUUUUCUAAUCAAAAUGAGCCCUAAACUGUCAUAGAAGAGAAAUCACAUUCGAUAUAGACUGUUUGUAAACGUUGCAUUAGAAUUUUUCUAGAAGUUUGACAUCUUAAGUUAAUUAUCAUAUCCAAUAUUUUCUUUUUCAACUUUUAAUAUAUUUAAAAGUUUAUGCUUUUUUUUUUAGAAUUUUUUUAAAGUCCAUUUUUAUUUCACUCCCUGUUCUUUUAUUUUCAUUUUAUUAAUAGAAAUGAGAAUGUGCAAGAAUAAGCAGUUUGCUAAUUGAUUGUGUAUUUUUCUGUCAUAUGCUUUCAAUCGUUCUGCAUUAAAAAAAUCGUACAUGUGAAUAGGAAGGAACCUUGACGUGGUUCAUGUGCUUUAAAACAAAUACCUUCCAGACAGAAACUUUUUGAUACCUUGUGUAAUACGUUGUUUACAUAGAAUGCGUUGAGGAUUUUGAGAGAUGAAGGGAAUAAGCAGUAUGAAAAAUAAAUGCUUAAGAAGAUGUAUAACAACGAUAAUGAACUUCAAAUAUUUUUUUUAAUGUUAUUGUUAAUUGCAGUUAAUUUAUAUUAACAUAUUAUUUAUGUAACAGUGUGUAAGAUAUAUAUGAAAUUGUGUAUUUAAUUUUAAAUUUUUUUUA